AGAUAAUUAGUCUAAAAAAAACAUUUGAUUUCGGCUCAAAAGCUUAUGGUUAAAUUCCAUAAUUAUCUU
rnacentral:tRNA from 1 species